UUCAGGCUUGGGGCGUGCAGCGUGGAGAGGAGGGCAGCCAGGAGCACACCGUCAGGGGCUGUGUGAGGCCAGGGCACUUGGACUUGCUCUCAGAUGAAUCGUGCUGCAGGCGGAUCAGAAGAGGUCUGUCCUCAGAGAACUCACGAUGAAAGUGUGGAAAGAAGCUAACAGAGAUCACAGCUCUACCCUGAGCCUGAAACUCCAGUGCUCAAGGGCGACUCUAAUGCCUCGGAGAACUUAACCAUGUGUGUGUUUGCACUUUCUCCGCCCUGAACAGGACAAGAUGGCAGCAGUUUGCCGCCUGAACUCCCCAGGUGAGAGCCCCCCACGCCCACCCUCUGGGCUGUGGGCUGACCUGGGGGCGGGGGCAGAGCUGCCCCUGGGGCUGCCACCUGGGAGCAGGUGACAGGCCCCAGCACGGGCGGCUCCAUCAGGAGCUGCCUGCCUGCUUGGGCCUCUCCCUCAGGAGACUCUAUGACUUAUUUUUAGAAGGAAGAGUUUGAUUCAAUGAAGCCCAGAACCAAAUGCUGGAGAAAUGCUUUCCGGUCUCCCCAGCAGGCUGGCCAUGUUCUAGUGGUGGCCCGGAUCUUGGGGCAGCCUGGAGCAAGAAGGGGCCCUGAGCCAGGGCCUCUGUCCUGUGUUCCCAUCACCCUGAGGUCGCAGGGGCGUUCACGGGGCAGCAGGAAGGGAGAGGCAGACUGGACUCCGUGGGCUUGAGGGAAGACGGAAAGAGAAUAAAAGGCACAGUCCUUCCCUUUCAAGACCUCAGACCUUCCUGGAGAACGCAGUCUCCGGCAAGGGAAGUGAGGACAAUGCAAGUUGCCCCACCGCUGGGCUAAAGGCUGGGAGGGCGCAGGGCAUCACGGAGGGAGACGGCCGGGGAUGGGUUCUCAGGGAGGAGGGGGCAGGGGCAGGCUCUCGAAGAAUGGGAGUGGUUAGUCUGGGGCCUGAGCAUGCAGGCAGGAAGGAGGCGGUGGACAGGGGACCACGAAGAGGCCUGAAACUGGAGGGACAAGUAGAGGCAGAGGCCUCUCGGCAGGGCCCAUGGUGUUCUGCAGAAUCAGGACUUCAUCCAAAAGGAGGGAGGGGACAGGAAAGCAGAGGAGAUGAGCAAAUCCUUCAGGCCUCAGGGCCUGGUUCUUCACGCCCACCAGCUCUCCAUCAGCUCACCCCAUGGAUGGGGCAUUUUGUUUGGGUACCAUGAAGCAACCUGACAGCCCCACUUGCAGGUUUGCAUCCUGGAGGGACCCAUUUUUGCUGAGUAGAUGGAUCCUGACAAAGCAGUUCUGCUGCUCACGGGCUAUUCCUGGGUCCUGGGAAGGAAGGCUCUUUGUAGGCAAGUUUGUUGUCCUUGUUGUUAUGCAUCCUGGCUGGUUUUGGCCACAGGGGGCAGUGUAGUUCCGUGAGAUGCUAAUAGAUAGGGCAUUCCUGUUUUCC
rnacentral:lncRNA from 1 species